rnacentral:rRNA from 1 species
CCUACGGGUGGCUGCAGUGGGGAAUAUUGGACAAUGGGGGCAACCCUGAUCCAGCCAUGCCGCGUGUGUGAAGAAGGCCCUCGGGUUGUAAAGCACUUUCAGUGAGGAAGAACGCCUGGUGGUUAAUACCCAUCAGGAAAGACAUCACUCACAGAAGAAGCACCGGCUAACUCCGUGCCAGCAGCCGCGGUAAUACGGAGGGUGCGAGCGUUAAUCGGAAUUACUGGGCGUAAAGCGCGCGUAGGUGGCUUGAUAAGCCGGUUGUGAAAGCCCCGGGCUCAACCUGGGAACGGCAUCCGGAACUGUCAAGCUAGAGUGCAGGAGAGGAAGGUAGAAUUCCCGGUGUAACGGUGAAAUGCGUAGAGAUCGGGCGGAAUACCAGUGGCGAAGGCGGCCUUCUGGACUGACACUGACACUGAGGUGCGAAAGCGUGGGUAGCAAACGGGAUUAGAUACCCUAGUAGUC